rnacentral:rRNA from 1 species
AGUGGCGAACGGGUGAGUAAAGUAUCGGAACGUGCCCAGUCGUGGGGGAUAACGUAGCGAAAGUUACGCUAAUACCGCAUACGAUCUAUGGAUGAAAGCGGGGGAUCGCAAGACCUCGCGCGAUUGGAGCGGCCGAUAUCAAAUUAGGUAGUUGGUGGGGUAAAGGCUCACCAAGCCGACGAUCUGUAGCUGGUCUGAGAGGACGACCACCCACACUGGGACUGAGACACGGCCCACACUCCUACGGGAGGCAGCAGUGGGGAAUUUUGGACAAUGGGCGCAAGCCUGAUCCAGCCAUGCCGCGUGCAGGAUGAAGGCCUUCGGGUUGUAAACUUCUUUUGUACGGAACGAAAAGGUUUGGCCUAAUAAGCUGAGCUCAUGACGGUACCGUAAGAAUAAGCACCGGCUAACUACGUGCCAGCAGCCGCGGUAAUACGUAGGGUGCGAGCGUUAAUCGGAAUUACUGGGCGUAAAGCGUGCGCAGGCGGUUAUGUAAGACAGAUGUGAAAUCCCCGGGCUCAACCUGGGAACUGCAUUAGUGACUGCAUAGCUGGAGUACGGCAGAAGGGGGGAUGGAAUUCCGCGUGUAGCAGUGAAAUGCGUAGAUAUGCGGAGGAACACCGAUGGCGAACGCAAUCCCCUGGGUCUUGUACUGACGCUCAUGCACGAAAGCGUGGA